AUACGGAGGGUGCAAGCGUUGUUCGGAAUCACUGGGCGUAAAGGGCGCGCAGGCGGUUUGAUUAGUCAGAUGUGAAAGCCCACGGCUUAACCGUGGAAGUGCAUUUGAAACUGUCAGACUCGAGUAUCAGAGGGGAAAGUGGAAUUCCCGGUGUAGAGGUGAAAUUCGUAGAUAUCGGGAGGAAUACCGGUGGCGAAGGCGACUUUCUGGCUGAAUACUGACGCUGAGGCGCGAAAGCGUGGGGAGCAAACAGGAUUAGAAACCCCGGUAGUCC
rnacentral:rRNA from 1 species